CGAAUUUGUCCAUAGCAUCAG
rnacentral:miRNA from 1 species